rnacentral:tRNA from 1 species
GCUAUCUUAGUUUACAAAGAAUAUCUAACUUGCACUUAGAAGGCGGUCAUAACCAGAAAGCG